GCUCUGGUGGCCUAGUGGUUAGAGCAUCUGCAUCAGAUGCGGGAGGUCAUGGGUUCCAUCCCCAGUCAAGUCA